UACAGAGGGUGCAAGCGUUGUUCGGAUUCAUUGGGCGUAAAGGGUGCGUAGGUGGCGCCGUAAGUCAGGUGUGAAAUUUCGGAGCUUAACUCCGAAACUGCAUUUGAUACUGCGGUGCUUGAGGACUGGAGAGGAGACUGGAAUUUACGGUGUAGCAGUGAAAUGCGUAGAGAUCGUAAGGAAGACCAGUGGCGAAGGCGGGUCUCUGGACAGUUCCUGACACUGAGGCACGAAGGCCAGGGGAGCAAACGGG
rnacentral:rRNA from 1 species